UACUUAUCCAGAGAGGUAGAGGGACUGGCCCUAUGAAACCUCAGCAGC
rnacentral:ncRNA from 1 species